UCGGCAAUGGGCGCAAGCCUGACCGAGCGACGCCGCGUGUGGGAUGAAGGCCCUUGGGUUGUAAACCACUGUCAGGGGGGAUCAAGGGAAACUUGAGAGAGCCCCAGAGGAAGCACGGGCAAAGUUCGUGCCAGCAGCCGCGGUAAUACGAACUGUGCGAACGUUAUUCGGAAUCACUGGGCUUAAAGGGUGCGUAGGCGGCGAAUCAAGUCUGUUGUGAAAUCUCUCGGCUCAACCGAGAGAGUGCAAUGGAAACUGAUUUGCUAGAGUGAGGCAGGGGUGUAGGGAACUUCCAGUGGAGCGGUGAAAUGUGUUGAUAUUGGAAGGAACACCGGUGGCGAAAGCGUUACACUGGGCCUUUUCUGACGCUGAGGCACGAAAGCCAGGGGAGCGAACGGGAUUAGAUACCCCGGUAGUCCUGGCCAUAAACGCUGAGUACUAGCUGGAGGGGGCUUGUCCCUCUCGGGCGUAGCGAAAGUGUUAAGUACUCCGCCUGGGGAGUAUGGUCGCAAGGCUGAAACUCAAAGG
rnacentral:rRNA from 1 species